CGAAUGGGAGCUCAAACUGCAUAAAAGUAUAUUUACUCAAAAAUGGGAGGUGACGAUUGCUAACAUGUCAUAACCAGACUCUGUCAUGACCUCGGCAAGCCACAACAUUGACAAUAAAGAGGAAAGAGGAUCAAGUCCCUAAAUACCCAGGUGAACUAAGACCUUCCCACGUGCCCGAAGAAGAUACACUUGCAGAGGAGAAAUGAUGAUGCAGGGGCCUGCUCCGAGAUGCAGGAGGAAGUUUAAUUGCCUGUGAAUUUCACUGGGAAGGAAGGGAUGAAACGAGGUUUGAAAGGAAAUAGAGAUUGUUAAACUCCUGACUAGGCGAUAACUGCCGUCCUUCUCUUCUAUCUGCCCCUGUGACUAGGCGGUAACUGCCGUCCUUCUCUAAUAUCUGCCCCUGUGACCAGGCGAUAACUGCCGUCCUUCUCUAAUAUCUGCCCCUGUGACUAGGCGAUAACUGCCGUCCUUCUCUUCCAUCUGCCCCUGUGACUAGGCGAUAACUGCCGUCCUUCUCUUCCAUCUGCCCCUGUGACUAGGCGAUAACUGCCGUCCUUCUCUAAUAUCUGCCCCUGUGACUAGGCGAUAACUGCCAUCCUUCUCUUCCAUCUGCCCCUGUGACUAGGCGAUAACUGCCGUCCUUCUCUGCUGUCUGCCCCUACCUUGGGCCCCAAAUGGCUCAGCACUAAAGUGCCUUGAGCAGGCUCCAGCCCAAAGGUGGCCUCCAUGGUUACCACUUCCCACUCUGCUGCCCUGCCUCGCUUUCCUCCUCGGCCUUCCCGGAUGGAUGACCGAUGUCAUUCCCAGGUUCCCUAACACUCAAGCCUAGCCCCUCAGUUUCUAGCAAGCAUCAAGCUUCACUGUGUGUCUAGCCUCUCAGGAGUCAGACCUGAGAAGUAUAGCUUGGUGGAAAUUCAGUGGCAGGGAAGAAAGAAGGAAGGAAAGAAGACUCUGAGCUGGAUUCAUACACAUCAUCGCAAUUCAUCCACACCACAGUCCUGUAAGAAGGCUGCAAAACAUACAGCAGAAAGGAUGGCUUGAAGGCAAUUGAUGUUUGUAAAAAAAUCCACAACAGGAUCCAAGCUGAAGAGGUGAACACGUCAGCCUGGUGGGACAAUUCUCAGCAUGUGCAAACAUAGGUAAAUUCUAGCCUAUGUUACAUUAAAAACAAUGUCAGUGCAUUUUUUCAUGUUAAAGUUUUUUUCAAAGCUAAAGUGUGUUCCUUGUUGUGCUGACCACAAACGAGUUUUAAGAGUUUUGAAAGUCUGGCAAAAAUAGAAAAAAAAAAAAAGCUGUAGUGACAUUGAACUGCUCAAUGUAAGCAUUGGGCAUGCACAAAUUUUCAAAACAAAGGAAGGAAAUCAUCCCUCUUACAACAU
rnacentral:lncRNA from 10 species